rnacentral:rRNA from 1 species
CCUACGGGAGACUGCAGUGAGGAAUAUUGGUCAAUGGGCGCGAGCCUGAACCAGCCAAGUAGCGUGAAGGAUGACUGCCCUACGGGUUGUAAACUUCUUUUAUAAAGGAAUAAAGUGAGGCACGUGUGCCUUUUUGUAUGUACUUUAUGAAUAAGGAUCGGCUAACUCCGUUCCAGCAGCAGCGGUAAUACGGAGGAGCCGAGCGUUAUCCGGAUUUAUUGGGUUUAAAGGGAGCGUAGAUGGUUUGUUAAGUCAGUUGUGAAAGUUUGCGGCUCAACCGUAAAAUUGCAAUUGAUACUGGCAGCCUUGAGUACAGUUGAGGUAGGCGGAAUUCGUGGUGGAGCGGUGAAAUGCUUAGAGAUCACGAAGAACUCCGAUUGCGAAGGCAGCUUACUAAACUGCCACUGACAUUGAUGCUCGAAAGUGUGGGUAUCAAACAGGAUUAGAUACCCGGGUAGUC